AGAAUAAUAGUUUAAAAAAAAUUUUUAAUUUGCAUUUAAAAGAUAAAUAAUUUUUUAUUUUA
rnacentral:tRNA from 1 species